rnacentral:piRNA from 1 species
ACCCAGGUUAUGUGGGGCUGGAGCCUGAAU